GGAGGUCUCUCGCUGGGCCCGGCAGCGGCGUGGAAGGCCCGAGGCGCGGCUGUGCCAUUGCGGCCCGGCUCGGGACAUCCCUGCCCUGCUUUUGGCUUUCCCUUGUUCCUCCCUUCACUCGACUUCUGGCCGCUCUCGGGCUGCUGCAGCGGUAUUUCUCCUCAGAAGGCGGUGAGGGGGUGGGGCGGUGAGGCCGUGGUGAGGCUCGCACCAUUGUCUCGUGUCGCUCUUUUUGCCCCUCACUGCCAAGGGAGUGGUUUUUGAAACAAUGCGUGAAUAUUGCCUGCAGGAAAGGCCGGGAUGAGGAAAACCCCCUCCCCUGCAUCCCCCAAAGGCAGCUGAGCAGGGCAGCCGCAAGUGGGGUUGACAAACCGUGAAGGAAGAACAAGGGAAUCCUGAAGCAGUAACAGACUGUUUGCUCCUGGCCUUUGUCCAAAGGGACUGUUUGCACAUCAGUGCUCUCAGUGGGACCAUGGAAGGAAAGGAGACGUCACCAAGUGACACCUCAGAGAGCAGUGUUUUGGACCUCCCCUCUGUUUGUGACCUAGCAGAGCACUUCCUGCCUCCACACAGCUCUGAAAACAGCGAGGAGCUUUAUCCUUCUGGGGAUGUUUUUCCCUCUCCACCCACAGGAGGGAGCAAUCCAUCACCYGCAGCUCCCACGGGCUGUUCUGCUGAAGGCUCUGCAGAAGCAAACGUGAGAUGUUACCCAAAAGCAGGGCUGUGUGAGCCCUCUGAACUUAAUGAUGCUGAGCUCUCAUGGGUGUAUGAACGUGCCAGUGCAGAAGAUCCUGGCAUCAGGGAAUCUCUGGAUCACUUCUACAAAACCUACUGCCAGAAGCAGCCAGAGACAAAGGAUCCGACCUACGAGGCUGCCUCACGGUGUCUGUYGCAGAAGAUUUCAGAGCUGGAACAAAAGGAUGGAACAAAAUAUGUGUCACGUUGCCUGCAAAUGGCACAGUUGGUCUUGAACAGAGAUGGAUGUAAGAUCUUUCCAAACCAUCCCGCUUCUGCUUGCUUUUCAAAGGCRGCUGAAGGAGAAGUCUUGUUGGAAAACAGGAGGAGGAUACCUGGGCUCUCAGAUGAUAUCCUGCAGUUCCUCUUGAAGCAAACACAGGCAGAACGUAGCCAUGAUGGGCCACAGGAGAAGUGAGCACAACACUGCUUUGUUUCUGUCAUUGAAGCUUCAUUUUCACUCCAUAAAGAGGAGAUUUUCCUAGAAAGACAUUGUUCUCCAAGCACCACCUUCAACACCAGAUAAUCGACAGAGAGUUGACCCAGAGCAGACCUUGCACCUUGCUCUCUGCAGGGCAGCACUGCCUAAGGAGCAUUUGUGGUCCCCAUGUAGCUGCUUGGGAUGGCUGAUGCUGUGUUUGUUGCUGGGACAUCAAACAUGAUAAUUUAUACCUCCCAGGCUUUUAAGGAUGUAGGAUGACCUACAUCCUUACCCCAGCUCAGCGUUGGUCCUGCCCAAAUUCAGCCCCUGUGUAGGCAUGGCUGUCCAUCCCAAACAGACUGUUCGAGUGACCACGGUGUGCCCCAGCCCUACAGAGAGAAAAUUAAGAUUUAAUUCUGUACCUGGCUGAUACUGUAACACACUUGCCUCCACGGGGUGCCUGUUAGCUGUGGGUUUUUUACCUACAGACAUUUGACCCCACAGAUCAUGAUUGCAAUGCCAGGUAAUGAGAUGCAAACAAUGACAAAAUAGAGAACUGGUGGCUGAAAAACAUGAAGAGAGACACUGACAGAGGAGAGCAUGAAAUUGUUCAGUGUUAAAGACCAACGUAGGCAGAGCAGACUGGAUGCUGCUGAGAAAUUUGGAUUGUGACUCAUAUCUACAAAUCUUGGCUGGCAUCUUGCAGAGGAAUCUCUGUGCUGCUGCAAMAUGCAGUCUUCUGAGAAGUUUGCACCCCUCAGAAUCAGUGCCUGCUCACUUCCAGUGGAUCAUGGCUGUGACUACCCAUGGAUUCCUCAAGGUAAAAAGAGUGUUUUGGCAURGCAAGUAUCAAGAGUGGUGUGAAGCCCUCACAGAAAUGUCCCGUGUUCUGUCCAUUUCUCCCCAUCCUGUGCAAUAAUCUUUGAGAAAUCGAAUUUUUUUCCUGAGAGGUGAARUGCCUUCCUCUUUCCCUGCCUUGCACUUGACUUAGUUUUGACACUUCAGUGGUUUCAGCUCUCCCCUUCUCCCCAGCCUGCUGGCCUCCCCAGCACUGGCUGUUCUCCCCUCCGCUGCCAAAGCCAGCUGCUGUCACCUCUCUCCAUCCCUUUGGCAAAGGCAUUUUUGGUGGCUUUCACUGCAGAACAAAUCCGAGGGGUUUUUUCUCCUUCUGCUUGUUGAAGGCUCCCAGCCAAGGAGCAGCUCUCUGAGCCUACCUUAGGACAACACCUGAAAACCUACAACACCUCUCAGUGCUCUGGGUAYGCAAAAUCCUACAAAAUCUUCAAGCAAAAUGUGUAAGUGAAGUAAAAGAUGGGGGAUUAGUCCCUUAGGUAAGACAAGSAGGGGCAAAAUUGAUCCACCAUUGCCACGAAGGAAGCACAGAGGAUGUGGUGAGGCCUUGACAGCAUGGACUGGGGUUUUGGUGCUGCACAGCCCAAAUCCAAAUCCCACAGAGAUGUGUGGGGUAUUUUGCAGCUGAGCUGUGCCAGCGUCCCCAGUGUCCCCAAGGGGUGGCUGGUGCUGCUGCAGGCUCUGAGUGCUGYCUCCACUCCCAGAAUGAACCUUACAGAAAUGCCUGCUCCAAGCUCUUUUGUCAUCCCUGACCAAUGCUGCUGCUGUUAAGUCAUUCCCUGGGCUGGGAGCUGCUCCAGGACGUUUGCUAUCAAUGGCCUUUCUGCUGCUUACUCCCACAGCAUUUUUAUUUUCCCUCCCACACUGCUGCUGAUUCAUGCCAGUGACCUACCCAGUCCUGGAGCCCAAAGGCAGCCAGGGAGAGCUGAGCUCCUGCCACAGGUCUCASUGAAGUGAAUGGAGGGCCAUUUACAGCAGCAGAGGGUUUUUUUCCCAGGAAUUCAAGGUGCUUUGGUAUGCCAGGAUAUAUCAGGACACGUGGUUGUUAAAAUUGGUGUACAACAGGCACUACACACMCCGUGUAAAUGUGGCUAUUUCAUUUCUGAGCAUUGGUGAUUUUGUGUGGGGCAUGUGUUUUCCCACAACACAGAAGUUCAUUUUAAAAAUACCCYGUUCUGUAGGUUUCCCCUAAUGACUAUUUUCCCACACACAUCRAUUAGGCAACAACAUAUGCCAGCAUUUCUUCCUUAAAAGUAAAAUCUGGCACUAGCACACAGAGCAUGAAAUAAUAAGAUGUGAUUAAAGCACUCACCAAAGCCAGAAGACUCGUGGCUGAAAGGUCAAACCUUUUUUUUAAAUUUGYCUUUGCAAUGGCCUGUUUGUUUGCAGGUGCUGGACUUGGGAGGGUAAGUCUUGUAAUGAAAAAACAACUGUCAUAGGAAAUUUCCCCAUCAGUUCAAGCCAAAUGUGCAGUGGAAGGUAUGUUCUUGCAAUGGGAAAUGUCAGGCAGCCUUAGGGCAGGGAUCACUGUCCAGUGUUACCUGCAUUGCUGGGUGAGGUGAGCCAGGAAUGAUCCUAAAUGGGUGCUAAAAUCAGCACCUCUGGCCAGACAACCAGGAUGAUUCUGUGAUUUUAG